rnacentral:rRNA from 1 species
AGCUUUAAGAAAGUAUAUUUAAAGUGAUGUCUGCCCGGUGAUUAAUAUUUAACGGCCGCAGUACUUUGACUGUGCUAAGGUAGCAUAAUAAAUUGACCCUUAAUUGGGGCCUAGAAUGAACGGAUAAUUAAAAAUUGACUGUCUUUAUUUAAUUUAAUAAAAUUUACUUAUUAGGUGAAAAUUCCUAAAUUUUCUACAUAAGACGAGAAGACCCUAUGAAUUAUUAUUAAAAUGACUCCCUCUCUCAUUAUUUUUUUGUUGGGGCAACAGCGUUGGAAAGUAAACCAACGGCAAAGAAGGUUUAUAAACCAAAUUUAUUUCAAUAAAACUAAUUACCUUAGGGAUAACAGCAUAAUUUUUAUUUAAGCUUGUGACCUCGAUGUUGGAUUAAGGACUUUACUUAUUAGCCAUAAUUAAAGAUAGUUCUGUUCGAACUGUAAAACCUU